rnacentral:rRNA from 1 species
CGGACGGGUGAGUAACACGUGGAUAACCUACCUAUAAGACUGGGAUAACUUCGGGAAACCGGAGCUAAUACCGGAUAACAUGUUGAACCGCAUGGUCAACAGUGAAAGACGGUCUUGCUGUCACUUACAGAUGGAUCCGCGCCGCAUUAGCUAGUUGGUAAGGUAACGGCUUACCAAGGCAACGAUGCGUAGCCGACCUGAGAGGGUGAUCGGCCACACUGGAACUGAGACACGGUCCAG